UUCCGAGACAGGUGCUGCAUGGCUGUCGUCAGCUCGUGCCGUGAGGUGUGGGUUAAGUCCCGCAACGAGCGCAACCCUAUUGCCAGUUGCUACCAGGUAAUGCUGGGCACUCUGGUGAGACUGCCCGGUUAACGGGGAGGAAGGUGGGGACGACGUCAAGUCAUCAUGGCCCUUACGCCUAGGGCUACACACGUACUACAAUGGCGCAUACAAAGGGCAGCGAUACCGCGAGGUGGAGCCAAUCCCAAAAAGUGCGUCCCAGUCCGGAUUGCAGUCUGCAACUCGACUGCAUGAAGUUGGAAUCGCUAGUAAUUCGAGAUCAGCAUGCUCGGGUGAAUGCGUUCCCGGGCCUU
rnacentral:rRNA from 1 species